rnacentral:lncRNA from 10 species
AACACCAAGAUGGCGGACGGCCCGGAUGAGUACGAUACCGAAGCGGGCUGUGUGCCCCUUCUCCACCCAGAGUUUGAGAUGGAGUUGCGCUCUUGUUGCCCAGGCUGAAGUGCAAUGACGUGAUCUCGGCUUACUGCAACCUCAGCCUCCUGCGUUCAAGCGAUUCUCCUGCAUCAGCCUCCCGAGUAGCUGGGAUUACAGGAAAUCAAACCCCAAAGCCAUUAUAACCAUGGAUAUGGUGAACCUCUUGGACGGAAAACUCAUAUUGAUGAUUACAGCACAUGGGACAUAGUCAAGGCUACACAAUAUGGAAUAUAUGAACGCUGUCGAGAAUUGGUGGAAGCAGGUUAUGAUGUACGGCAACCGGACAAAGAAAAUGUUACCCUCCUCCAUUGGGCUGCCAUCAAUAACAGAAUAGAUUUAGUCAAAUACUAUAUUUCGAAAGGUGCUAUUGUGGAUCAACUUGGAGGGGACCUGAAUUCAACUCCAUUGCACUGGGCCACAAGACAAGGCCAUCUAUCCAUGGUUGUGCAACUAAUGAAAU